AUUGAACGCUGGCGGCAGGCCUAACACAUGCAAGUCGAGCGGAUGAAGGGAGCUUGCUCCUGGAUUCAGCGGCGGACGGGUGAGUAAUGCCUAGGAAUCUGCCUGGUAGUGGGGGAUAACGUCCGGAAACGGGCGCUAAUACCGCAUACGUCCUGAGGGAGAAAGUGGGGGAUCUUCGGACCUCACGCUAUCAGAUGAGCCUAGGUCGGAUUAGCUAGUUGGUGGGGUAAAGGCCUACCAAGGCGACGAUCCGUAACUGGUCUGAGAGGAUGAUCAGUCACACUGGAACUGAGAAACGGUCCAGACUCCGACGGGAGGCAGCAGUGGGGAAUAUUGGACGAAGGGCGAAAGCCUGAUCCAGCCAUGCCGCGUGUGUGAAGAAGGUCUUCGGAUUGUAAAGCACUUUAAGUUGGGAGGAAGGGCAGUAAGUUAAUACCUUGCUGUUUUGACGUUACCAACAGAAUAAGCACCGGCUAACUUCGUG
rnacentral:rRNA from 1 species